rnacentral:rRNA from 1 species
UACGAAGGGGGCUAGCGUUGUUCGGAAUUACUGGGCGUAAAGCGCACGUAGGCGGCUUUACAAGUCAGGGGUGAAAGCCCGCGGCUCAACCGCGGAAUUGCCCUUGAGACUGUAUCGCUUGAACACGGGAGAGGUGAGUGGAAUUCCGAGUGUAGAGGUGAAAUUCGUAGAUAUUCGGAAGAACACCAGUGGCGAAGGCGGCUCACUGGACCGGUAUUGACGCUGAGGUGCGAAAGCGUGGGGAGCAAACAGG